CCCUUUGGGGUGUGACUGCGUACCUUUUGUAUAAUGGGUCAGCGACUUAUAUUCUGUAGCAAGGUUAACCGUAUAGGGGAGCCGCAGGGAAACCGAGUCUUAACCGGGCGUUAAGUUGCAGGGUAUAGACCCGAAACCCGGUGAUCUAGCCAUGGGCAGGUUGAAGGUUGGGUAACACUAACUGGAGGACCGAACCGACUAAUGUUGAAAAAUUAGCGGAUGACCUGUGGCUGGGGGUGAAAGGCCAAUCAAACCGGGAGAUAGCUGGUUCUCCCCGAAAGCUAUUUAGGUAGCGCCUCGUGAAUUCAUCUCCGGGGGUAGAGCACUGUUUCGGCUAGGGGGCCAUCCCGGCUUACCAACCCGAUGCAAACUGCGAAUACCGGAGAAUGUUAUCACGGGAGACACACGGCGGGUGCUAACGUCCGUCGUGAAGAGGGAAACAACCCAGACCGCCAGCUAAGGUCCCAAAGUCAUGGUUAAGUGGGAAACGAUGUGGGAAGGCCCAGACAGCCAGGAUGUUGGCUUAGAAGCAGCCAUCAUUUAAAGAAAGCGUAAUAGCUCACUGGUCGAGUCGGCCUGCGCGGAAGAUGUAACGGGGCUAAACCAUG
rnacentral:rRNA from 1 species